CGUUGGAUGAUUGAGAGGGGCUGCUCCUAGUACGAGAGGACCGGAGUGGACGAACCGCUGGUGUUCGGGUUGUGUCGCCAGACGCAUUGCCCGGUAGCUAAGUUCGGAAUCGAUAACCGCUGAAAGCAUCUAAGCGGGAAGCGAGCCUCAAGAUGAGUCAUCCCUAGACCUUUAAGGUCUCUAAAGGGUUGUUGAAGACUACAACGUUGAUAGGUCGGGUGUGUAAGUGCUGUGAGGCAUUGAGCUAACCGAUACUAAUUGCCCGU
rnacentral:ncRNA from 1 species